AUCCGCACAUCGACCCUUCCACGGCAGGAGCGGGGGACCCAGGUAAGCCGCCGGAACCGGGAGCAGCGCACCGCGCACGCCACCGGCCCCGGCUAGGGGUGAAGCCGCGCCACACGGCGCGGCCGGGCAGCUCCAGCCCGAACCCGACAGCUCACCUCGCAGGCGCCGGAGAGGAACCUU
rnacentral:sRNA from 2 species